AGAAGAAGUCAGUGCCUCUUCGGUCACCUUAAGGAGGACCUGUGGUGGAUGUCUGAAGGAUCUUCCAGAUGUAAAGAAUCACCUGUGUUCAUGUCCGUCACCCAGAGGAUGAAGUACGAGAAAAGAUAUGAAGGACACUGGAUGGACACUUCUAAAGAGAACAUGCUCAAAGUCAGCAAAAUAUGUCACUAAAACAGGGUGAGGAAGACUUUCCCAGGAUGACCCUCAAGACUGGAACCACUGGCACCCAUGAAUCUUUAUUAAGCACCUGCUAUAUGACAGAUGCAUGUGGUCUCACAGCUGGAGACAAGAACCAACUGCGCGCAAAUGGCAUACGGUUGGGAUUCAUCCUAGCCAGAAAUCCUAGCCAGACCACCGGCAGCACCUCCAGGCCGUCUGCCCAGUUGCAGUUUAGGAAACUGAACAAUGUCUGCAAUGUAAGGAAUCCCAUCCACUUAACCUUUAUCAGCCGCUCAGACAGCUGCAGCUGCCACUGAAGGCCCUUGAGAAGAUUUACUUAAGUAUGAAGUUAAAAGUGGGUUUGUCUUUCAUUCAUCACACUUGAAGGGAGCAGGCUCUGGGGAUAGCAAAAGAGACUAGCAGAGUGUGGGUGGGCAAGGCAGACCCUUGCCUGGGCAGCAAGGAGGCUGGCUGCAGAAAGUAUGGAGUGGCAGGCAGCUCUGACCUUUGCACACCCCCGGGGUUGAUGGGGAGGGGAGUCUGAGGAAGAGUCAGCCUGUUGUGGUGAGCUGGAGAUCAAUGGUCUUACCUAUGACAAGGCUGGGUCAUCUCAACUUCCUGGUGGGUGAAAAGUAAAACGGUUACUCUAGAUCUAUUGGGAAUAUUUUAACUGUGGUCAUAAUCAAUUAAAAUUUAUCAUUAUCAAUAUUUAGUAUAUUACAAUGUUGCACAACCAUUACCGCUAUUUAGUCCCAGGAAAUUCCAUCAACCCAAAAGGAAAUCCCAUAUCUAGCUGAGCAUUGUGGUACUGAAAUUUCAGCUACCCGGGAGGCUGAGGCAGAA